GGGGACGCGCGGAUUCGACAGGGGAUGUCACCGCGGGAUUGCAGGUCGGGGCGCCUUCAUCCUCGUUAAAAAGAUGGCAAAAAAGUAACUGGCAACAAAGAGCUAGCACUAGCCGCUUAAGCGGCUACGUCCUUCACGUCCGAUCCCCGAAGGUAGUGAAAGGGCGACAAUAGACGGGGUGCAGUCAGUUAGAUGCCGAUAUAUCUGGCUAAAGACUAUCGGCUAGUCUGUUUCAAGCGCUAGCCGGUC
rnacentral:tmRNA from 1 species